rnacentral:rRNA from 1 species
GAUGAACGCUGGCGGCGUGCCUAAUACAUGCAAGUCGAACGAACAGACGAGGAUCUUGCUCGUCUGACGUUAGCGGCGGACGGGUGAGUAACACGUGGAUAACCCACCUAUCAGACUGGUAUAUCUUCGGGAAACCGGAGCUAAUACCGGAUAAGAUACUGAACCGCAUGGUUCAAUAGUGAAAGACGGUUUUGGUGGCACGUAUCGAUGGAUCUGCGCCGGAUUAGGUGGUUGGUAAGGUAACGGCUUACCAAGGCAACGAUGCGUAGCCGACCUGUGAGGGGGAUCGGCCACACUGGAACUGAGACACGGUCCAGACUCCUGCGAGAGGCAGCAGUAGCGAAUCUUCCGCAAUGGGCGAGAGCCUGACGGAGCAACGCCGCGUGAGUGAUGAAGGUCUUCGGAUCGUAAAACUCUGUUAUUAGGGAAGAACAAAUGUGUAAGUAACUAUGCACGUCUUGACGGUACCUAAUCAGAAAGCCCCGGCUAACUACGUG